AGUGAACGCUGGCGGUAGGCCUAACACAUGCAAGUCGAACGGCAGCACAGUAAGAGCUUGCUCUUACGGGUGGCGAGUGGCGGACGGGUGAGGAAUACAUCGUAAUCUACUUUUUCGUGGGGGAUAACGUAGGGAAACUUACGCUAAUACCGCAUACGACCUACGGGUGAAAGCAGGGGAUCUUCGGACCUUGCGCGAUUGAAUGAGCCGAUGUCGGAUUAGCUAGUUGGCGGGGUAAAGGCCCACCAAGGCGACGAUCCGUAGCUGGUCUGAGAGGAUGAUCAGCCACACUGGAACUGAGACACGGUCCAGACUCCUAAGGGAGGCAGCAGUGGGGAAUAUUAGACAAUGGGCGCAAGCCUGAUCCAGCCAUACCGCGUGGGUGAAGAAGGCCUUCGGGUUGUAAAGCCCUUUUGUUGGGAAAGAAAAGCAGCAGGUUAAUACCCCGCUGUUCUGACGGUACCCAAAGAAUAAGCACCGGCUAACUUCGUG
rnacentral:rRNA from 1 species